rnacentral:rRNA from 1 species
GACGAACGCUGGCGGCGUGCUUAACACAUGCAAGUCGAACGGAAAGGCCCUGCUUUUGUGGGGUGCUCGAGUGGCGAACGGGUGAGUAACACGUGAGUAACCUGCCCUUGACUUUGGGAUAACUUCAGGAAACUGGGGCUAAUACCGGAUAGGAGCUCCUGCUGCAUGGUGGGGGUUGGAAAGUUUCGGCGGUGGGGGAUGGACUCGCGGCUUAUCAGCUUGUUGGUGGGGUAGUGGCUUACCAAGGCUUUGACGGGUAGCCGGCCUGAGAGGGUGACCGGCGACAUUGGGACUGCGAUACGGCCCAGACUCCUACGGGAGGCAGCAGUGGGGAAUAUUGCACAAUGGGCGGAAGCCUGAUGCAGCAACGCCGCGUGCGGGAUGACGGCUUUCGGGUUGUAAACCGCUUUCGCCUGUGACGAAGCGUGAGUGGCGGUAAUGGGUAAAGAAGCAACGGCUAACUACGUG